rnacentral:tRNA from 1 species
GCCUGGGUGGCUCAGUUGGUUGAGCAUCUGACUUCGGCUCAGGUCAUGAUCUCAUGGUUUGUGAGUUCGAGCCCCGUGUUGGGCU